CCUACGGGCGGCAGCAGUGGGGAAUAUUGGACAAUGUGCGAAAGCCUGAUCCAGCCAUGCCGCGUGUGUGAAGAAGGCCUUCGGGUUGUAAAGCACUUUCAGUGGGGAAGAAAGCCUUGGGGCUAAUACCCUCGAGGAAGGACAUCACCCACAGAAGAAGCACCGGCUAACUCCGUGCCAGCAGCCGCGGUAAUACGGAGGGUGCGAGCGUUAAUCGGAAUUACUGGGCGUAAAGCGCGCGUAGGCGGUCUGAUAAGCCGGUUGUGAAAGCCCCGGGCUCAACCUGGGAACGGCAUCCGGAACUGUCAGGCUAGAGUGCAGGAGAGGAAGGUAGAAUUCCCGGUGUAGCGGUGAAAUGCGUAGAGAUCGGGAGGAAUACCAGUGGCGAAGGCGGCCUUCUGGACUGACACUGACGCUGAGGUGCGAAAGCGUGGGUAGCAAACAGGAUUAGAUACCCGAGUAGUC
rnacentral:rRNA from 1 species